rnacentral:rRNA from 1 species
UAGCUAGUUGGUGAGGUAACGGCCCACCAAGGCAACGAUCGGUAGCCGGACUGAGAGGUUGAACGGCCACAUUGGGACUGAGACACGGCCCAGACUCCUACGGGAGGCAGCAGUGGGGAAUAUUGCACAAUGGGGGAAACCCUGAUGCAGCGACGCCGCGUGGAGGAAGAAGGUCUUCGGAUUGUAAACUCCUGUUGUUGAGGAAGAUAAUGACGGUACUCAACAAGGAAGUGACGGCUAACUACGUGCCAGCAGCCGCGGUAAAACGUAGGUCACAAGCGUUGUCCGGAAUUACUGGGUGUAAAGGGAGCGCAGGCGGGAAGACAAGUUGGAAGUGAAAUCCAUGGGCUCAACCCAUGAACUGCUUUCAAAACUGUUUUUCUUGAGUAGUGCAGAGGUAGGCGGAAUUCCCGGUGUAGCGGUGGAAUGCGUAGAUAUCGGGAGGAACACCAGUGGCGAAGGCGGCCUACUGGGCACCAACUGACGCUGAGGCUCGAAAGUGUGGGUAGCAAACAGGAUUAGAUACCCUGGUAGUCCACACCGUAAACGAUGAUUACUAGGUGUUGGAGGAUUGACCCCUUCAGUGCCGCAGUUAACACAAUAAGUAAUCCACCUGGGGAGUACGACCGCAAGGUUGAAACUCAAAGGAAUUGACGGGGGCCCGCACAAGCAGUGGAGUAUGUGGUUUAAUUCGACGCAACGCGAAGAACCUUACCAAGUCUUGACAUCCCUUGACGGUGCUGGAAACAGUACUUCUCUUCGGAGCAAGGAGACAGGUGGUGCAUGGUUGUCGUCAGCUCGUGUCGUGAGAUGUUGGGUUAAGUCCCGCAACGAGCGCAACCCUUAUGGUCAGUUACUACGCAAGAGGACUCUGGCCAGACUGCCGUUGACAAAACGGAGGAAGGUGGGGAUGACGUCAAAUCAUCAUGCCCUUUAUGACUUGGGCUACACACGUACUACAAUGGCGUUAAACAAAGAGAAGCAAGACCGCGAGGUGGAGCAAACUCAGAAACAACGUCCCAGUUCGGACUGCAGGCUGCAACUCGCCUGCACGAAGUCGGAAUUGCUAGUAAUCGUGGAUCAGCAUGCCACGGUGAAUACGUUCCCGGGCCUUGUACACACCGCCCGUCACACCAUGAGAGCCGGGGGGACCCGAAGUCGGUAGUCUAACCGCAAGGAGGACGCCGCCGAAGGCAAAACUGGUGAUUGGGGUGAAGUAACAAGGUAGCCGUAGGAGAACCUGCGGCUG